CGGUAACAGGGGGGGCUUGCUCCCCGCUGACGAGCGGCGGACGGGUGAGUAAUGCAUAGGAAACUGCCCAGUAGUGGGGGAUAGCCCGGGGAAACCCGGAUUAAUACCGCAUACGCCCUUUGGGGGAAAGCAGGGGAUCUUCGGACCUUGCGCUAUUGGAUGUGCCUAUGUCGGAUUAGCUAGUUGGUGGGGUAAGAGCCUACCAAGGCGACGAUCCGUAGCUGGUCUGAGAGGAUGAUCAGCCACAUCGGGACUGAGACACGGCCCGAACUCCUACGGGAGGCAGCAGUGGGGAAUAUUGGACAAUGGGGGCAACCCUGAUCCAGCCAUGCCGCGUGUGUGAAGAAGGCUUUCGGGUUGUAAAGCACUUUCAGUGAGGAGGAAAACCUUACGAUUAAUACUCGUGAGGCUUGACGUUACUCACAGAAGAAGCACCGGCUAACUCCGUGCCAGCAGCCGCGGUAAUACGGAGGGUGCAAGCGUUAAUCGGAAUUACUGGGCGUAAAGCGCGCGUAGGUGGUUUGAUAAGCGAGAUGUGAAAGCCCCGGGCUCAACCUGGGAACGGCAUUUCGAACUGUCAGGCUAGAGUAUGGUAGAGGAGUGUGGAAUUUCCUGUGUAGCGGUGAAAUGCGUAG
rnacentral:rRNA from 1 species